GAUGAAGAACGUAGCGAAAUGCGAUACGUAAUGUGAAUUGCAGAAUUCAGUGAAUCAUCGGAUCUUUGAACGCACAUUGCGCCUGCCAGCACUCUGGCAGGCAUGCCUGUUCGAGCGUCAUUUCAACCAUCAAGCCCUAGGCUUGCGUUGGAGCCCUGCGGCUGCCGCAGGCCCCUAAAAGCAGUGGCGGGCUCGCUAUCACACCGAGUGCAGUAGAUUACUCUUCGCUCAGGGCGUGUGGCGGGUUCCAGCCGUGAAACCCCCUACUUCUCAAGGUUGACCUCGGAUCAGGUAGGAAUACCCGCUGAACUUAAGCAUAUCAAUAAGCGGAGGA
rnacentral:misc_RNA from 1 species